rnacentral:tRNA from 1 species
GCGCUUGUAGCUCAGCAGGAUAGAGCGACCGCCUCCUAAGCGGUAGGUCGGAGGUUCGAAUCCCCUCAGGCGCGCCA